UAGACACUUGUCCCAGGGGGU
rnacentral:piRNA from 1 species